rnacentral:rRNA from 1 species
UACAGAGGGGGCAAGCGUUGUUCGGAAUUACUGGGCGUAAAGGGCGCGUAGGCGGCCUCUUAAGUCGAACGUGAAAUCCCCGGGCUCAACCCGGGAACUGCGUCCGAUACUGGGAGGCUUGAAUCCGGGAGAGGGAUGUGGAAUUCCAGGUGUAGCGGUGAAAUGCGUAGAUAUCUGGAGGAACACCGGUGGCGAAGGCGGCAUCCUGGACCGGUAUUGACGCUGAGGCACGAAAGCGUGGGGAGCAAACAGG